GGGAAGUAUUUCCUUGUGGCCACCUAGCGCUAUAUAAGGUUAGCCUUCCUUAUAAAGAAGAUUGUUCAUGAGGACCUACUGCAAGCUGGCUGAUGUUGGUGUUUUUGUAGCUGAGAUGCCUUUUGGUGGUCACUAGAAUAUUCCUGACAGACAGAAGCCAAGCAGCCUUUUCUGUACCUCUUGGUACUGCUGUGAAGAGGUGGAGUAUUUUGUUCCUAACUAUAGUGCUGCUCCAGUGCCCCAACCAUGGGAGGCAAACUUGGCAAGAAGGGGAUCAGGGCAACCGAAGAGACAGCUGAAGAUCGUAAGGUUGAGGGGGAAGUUGCAGAAGUGACACCAAAAGAUACAGGUGAGGCCCAGCCUGCAGCAGGGUCCAUAGACCUAGAGUGUGGCAAAGAGUCCCAGAUGGAAGAUCAGGAAAGCAGGGGAGAUUCUGCAGAGUGCAAGGAAUCAGAGGGAAGUACAAAUGCAAAGCCAGAGAUGCAGCAGCACACUGAAGAGGAACUGGUGGCUUCUGCUGCUUACAUUGAGGCUGAUCUACCCCUUCCCCAGGAAGUCACUCUUCCUAAAGUAGAAGAGAGCAGAGAUCAAAGCAAGGCUGAAGAGAUCAACUGCUGAAACCCAAGGAAUCAAGUGUGGAGAGACUCCAGCUUCAAGCAAGAUUUGUUAGAAAUAACAGCUUUUUUUCCCUCAUCACAGACCCUGUAACCAAAGUAUUUGACUUCAUUCCUGUAGACUUGGGGCCUGCAAUCCAGCAGAACUCAAUCCAGUUGAGAAACUUCACUCUGGCUCUGCUACAGUGAAUGCACAGCUGGAGCUCUAACAUUUAAAAUAAUAUGUCUAUGAGCUGCACUUUGUGCAUUCAUAGUUCUGACCUCAAGCCACAUGUCUUCCCAAGGAGAAUAACUUGUGCAAUGGGGAAAGGAGUUAAAAGAAUGCAUUGUGCACCAUGAGUUACCUUAACUAUUUAAAUGAAGUCCCAGCUUAAACUACAGCUUCCCUGGUGUCUGAGCUGCUGAGAAUGUACUUCUGUUAUGAUGAAGGAUUGGAAUGAUGCACUUGAAUUUACCCUUUGAGAUGAUCCCAUUAAUAUUUAACAGUAGUCUGAUGGGGAUUAUAGCAUUAUUUUAAGACCAAUGUAAACCAGUGGCUGAAUGGGGAAGGGGUUUCUUAGUGAACCUUACUUAAAUAAGCUAAUCUUCCUUUUGUAAAUCAACAUCAUUCAAAUUUUCUAUGCAGUGUUCCCAUGAAUUAGCAUGUAGCUGUGCUUGACUGAAUCUACUACCAUUCUGUUAACAGGUCUGUUCAUGACAAUUUCAGCUCUAGUUUAUGGGAUUUAAAUGAUCAAUCACUGAGCAUAAUGUACAAUGGGUGUAUUGGAGCUAUGCAACUGUAAAUAGUGCAACCAGACAACACUGUAUUCCCUGCAUGUGGAGUAAUGGGGCAUGGAAUCAUGUAUUACAACCUGAAGUCACAAUAUUGUCUUAAUGUAACUGCCAAUAAAUACUAUUUUAUGAUUGCUGCAAUGUA